CCUACGGGAGGCAGCAGUCGGGAAUAUUGCGCAAUGGAGGAAACUCUGACGCAGUGACGCCGCGUAUAGGAAGAAGGUUUUCGGAUUGUAAACUAUUGUCGUUAGGGAAGAUAAAAGACUGUACCUAAGGAGGAAGCCCCGGCUAACUAUGUGCCAGCAGCCGCGGUAAUACAUAGGGGGCAAGCGUUAUCCGGAAUUAUUGGGUGUAAAGGGUGCGUAGACGGAAGAACAAGUUGGUUGUGAAAUCCCUCGGCUCAACUGAGGAACUGCAACCAAAACUAUUCUCCUUGAGUGUCGGAGAGGAAAGUGGAAUUCCUAGUGUAGCGGUGAAAUGCGUAGAUAUUAGGAGGAACACCAGUGGCGAAGGCGACUUUCUGGACGAUAACUGACGUUGAGGCACGAAAGUGUGGGGAGCAAACAGGAUUAGAUACCCCUGUAGUC
rnacentral:rRNA from 1 species